rnacentral:rRNA from 1 species
AUUGAACGCUGGCGGCAUGCCUUACACAUGCAAGUCGAACGGCAGCACGGGUGCUUGCACCUGGUGGCGAGUGGCGAACGGGUGAGUAAUACAUCGGAACAUGUCCUGUAGUGGGGGAUAGCCCGGCGAAAGCCGGAUUAAUACCGCAUACGAUCUACGGAUGAAAGCGGGGGACCUUCGGGCCUCGCGCUAUAGGGUUGGCCGAUGGCUGAUUAGCUAGUUGGUGGGGUAAAGGCCUACCAAGGCGACGAUCAGUAGCUGGUCUGAGAGGACGACCAGCCACACUGGGACUGAGACACGGCCCAGACUCCUACGGGAGGCAGCAGUGGGGAAUUUUGGACAAUGGGCGAAAGCCUGAUCCAGCAAUGCCGCGUGUGUGAAGAAGGCCUUUGGGUUGUAAAGCACUUUUGUCCGGAAAGAAAUCCUUGGCCCUAAUACGGUCGGGGGAUGACGGUACCGGAAGAAUAAGCACCGGCUAACUACGUG